rnacentral:rRNA from 1 species
AGCGAACGCUGGCGGCAGGCUUAACACAUGCAAGUCGAGCGGGCAUCCUUGUGGUGUCAGCGGCAGACGGGUGAGUAACGCGUGGGAACGUGCCCUUCGGUUCGGAAUAACUCAGGGAAACUUGAGCUAAUACCGGAUACGCCCUUUUGGGGAAAGGUUUACUGCCGAAGGAUCGGCCCGCGUCUGAUUAGCUAGUUGGUGAGGUUAUGGCUCACCAAGGCGACGAUCAGUAGCUGGUCUGAGAGGAUGAUCAGCCACACUGGGACUGAGACACGGCCCAGACUCCUACGGGAGGCAGCAGUGGGGAAUAUUGGACAAUGGGGGCAACCCUGAUCCGGCCAUGCCGCGUGAGUGAUGACGGCCUUAGGGUUGUAAAGCUCUUUUCUCCGGGACGAUAAUGACGGUACCGGAGGAAUAAGCCCCGGCUAACUUCGUG